rnacentral:lncRNA from 1 species
GUUUCUAUGUGCUUUGGAGAUCCUACAGCUUUGGAAUAGCAGGACUGAUGCUUUCAUGUUUAUAACAGAGAUGAGAGAUUUUUGGAUGUGGAUCAACUGAGAGCCCUAAAUCUGGUCUUACUCAGGACUUACCUUGAUUCUCAAAGCUAGCUGUUGAAUGUACAAGCAGAGAUACAUGAAGAUUCACACAAUGACCCAGACUUGCUCCAUCUCUACCUUGACCUGGUACUUGACCAGUGAGUCAGUGAGCCUUAUGGAAUCUCAGCUUCUUCCAGCAGUAAUGUGCAGACACUUUGGUUUCUUUCUUUCUUUCUUUCUUUCUUUCUUUCUUUCUUUCUUUCUUUCUUUCUUUCUUUCUUUCUUGUUUCAGACUCUUCGAUAAUAGCUGUUUCCUAGGACUGCUCAUAAACAGAAGAAGAAAUGUAGCUGAGGUCUCAGGAACAGCAAACAAUUGUGGAAAAUCAUGAGCAUCAAUUACUACAUCUUCAAAAACUGAGCAAAUCUGAAGAACUACAAUAUAUGUUUCUAUGUAUCAGGACAAGGACAGCCUGGUUCUGACUGUGCAAAGCUGCGGCUUUGCCUCCAGUGGAUGCCUUCAGAGCAGCAGAUCUGACUUCCUCCUCCAACCAAGGAGUCCUAAAAACAUCCAAGCAAAGGAAGCAUAUUUUCCCCAUGACAUGAGAAAGGGCCACAGAGAUCCAAAUGAAAACGGACAUUUCGCCCGAGUGACUGUUUGUAUCUCACCUUGGCUCUGUGCCUAAUUCAACAGGCACUUAGGUGGCUGAAGAGGGAAUUUUUCGUUACCGUGAAUCCAGCCCCGGGUUGGACAGAGAGCCUUUUGACGGCAGACCGAGUUCCUUGUGCUCGCUGGCAAAAUGACCACAUUUCUCUUCCAGUUGUUGUAGGGGUUUGAAAAAUCCCUCACUUCCUGGCAAAAGUUUUCUUUCUCCAGGAGAUAAAGGCAAGGCAUCUUCUGUCUACCCAUAGAAUACUUCUAUCACCUCAGAAACAGUUUUCAGCAAGGCAGGGUUGCUUGAACACUCACGUUAGCUCUCCACGGACUCUCGACAGCUGGCUGAUGACCAAAGAGUCUCAGGGAAGUACUCCCUUCUCUGAUUGUCCAUGUCAGUGGGAGUCUGCGGGCUGUCAUCAGAAAGUUCAUCUUACAUGUAUGACUAUGGGGCCUGUGUGUGUUCAAAUAUAUGUCUGAGGUAUGGGCAGAGUGCCUAGUUUGAAGCUUUUGUGCAUACUCAAGAACCAUGACUGAGAAGGCCAGAGCAGAAUGAAGGUAACACUCACUCUUUUGUUGCUCCCUAGGAAGUACCAUGACUUCUUUGGUGAUAGGAGUCUAGUGUAGUAAUAUAGACAUACCACUGCGUUAUUCAGAAAUAGACAACACAACCUACCCUGGUGGCAAAAUGAAUCAACACAAUCCUUCUCAGUGACAUUUUAGCAAAGUAAGUUGAGAACUUUAAAAUGCCAUAUCUCUACUUUGGAAUUGUUUUUAAGUUUAAACAACACAAAAUACAGUGUAGACAAUGUAGUUUAAAAUAGGAUGUCCUGGUGAGUUUUGGUCAACUGGACACGAACCAGAGUCAUUUGGGAAGAGCAAAACUCAGUUGAGAAAAUGCCCACAGCAGAUUGGUCUGUAGGACAUUUGUUUGGAUGGUGAUUAUUGUAGGAGGGCCCAUCCGCUUAUGGGCAGUGCCACCUCACCUGGACAGGUGGUCCUGGGAAUAUAAGAAAGCAGGCUGAGCAAGC